UUGUAUGGAUGAGCGAUACCUUCUGUCCUCCGAAUCUAUCUUGCCAACAGACGUUCUCGUUCAAAUGUUAUGCCGCAAUAUUUUUCGUUUGUUUUGAUAGUUAUAAAUUAUAGUAUUCGCCAAAAUCUCGAUAAAUCACCUAGUCGUGAUUUGAUCCAUACGAGGAUCUGAGUGUGAUUUACAGUUUUUGUUUUUUUUUUUUUCAUAAAAUAUCCGUGAUAUUUUGAACAUUUUUUUUUUGUUCGUAUAUUAUGUGAUUACUGUAGUUCGCCACACGAUAAUACAUCUAG